rnacentral:rRNA from 1 species
CCUACGGGGGGCAGCAGUGGGGAAUAUUGCGCAAUGGGCGAAAGCCUGACGCAGCGACGCCGCGUGAGGGAUGAAGGUCUUCGGAUCGUAAACCUCUGUCAGCAGGGAAGAACGGUCACUGUGCUAAUCAGCAGUGAAUUGACGGUACCUGCAAAGGAAGCACCGGCUAACUCCGUGCCAGCAGCCGCGGUAAUACGGAGGGUGCGAGCGUUAAUCGGAAUUACUGGGCGUAAAGCGCUCGUAGGCGGUAUGUCAAGUCAAGGGUGAAAUCCCCGGGCUCAACGUGGGAACUGCCUUUGAAACUGGCAAACUGGAGUGUGGGAAAGGGUAGUAGAAUUCCAGGUGUAGGAGUGAAAUGCGUAGAGAUCUGGAGGAAUAUCAGUGGCGAAGGCGACUAUCUGGAAAAUGACUGACGCUGAGGAGCGAAAGCGUGGGUAGCAAACAGGAUUAGAUACCCUAGUAGUC